rnacentral:rRNA from 1 species
UAGGGAAUAUUGCUCAAUGGGGGAAACCCUGAAGCAGCAACGCCGCGUGGAGGAUGAAGGUUUUCGGAUUGUAAACUCCUUUUGUUAGAGAAGAUAAUGACGGUAUCUAACGAAUAAGCACCGGCUAACUCCGUGCCAGCAGCCGCGGUAAUACGGAGGGUGCAAGCGUUACUCGGAAUCACUGGGCGUAAAGAGCGCGUAGGCGGGAUAGCAAGUCAGAUGUGAAAUCCUAUGGCUUAACCAUAGAACUGCAUUUGAAACUGUUAUUCUAGAGUAUGGGAGAGGUAGGUGGAAUUCUUGGUGUAGGGGUAAAAUCCGUAGAGAUCAAGAGGAAUACUCAUUGCGAAGGCGACCUGCUAGAACAUAACUGACGCUGAUGCGCGAAAGCGUGGGGAGCAAACAGGA